CAUCCUGAUUGUGACUGAGGGCGCCAAUCUGAAAGUGACGGGAGCUGAGCCUCUGUGUGCCUGAGUGUUACAGGAAAGGCCUACUGAAGAUGAACGACUUUCGGGGGGGCGGGGGGCUAUGCAGCUCACGGGUGUGGACAGUUAACACGGAUACAAGCUUGUAAAGAAUUCUAAGAUUCUCUGUGUUCCCCGAGUGGGGGAAUUGAAGUUCAGGUGACUUUACUAUGUGGCUGUGUGCAUUCCUCUCUACCGUAAACAGAGGCCAUGCUGAGGUGGCGAAGUCUGCACUACGGUCUGAAGCACGAGAAGGCCCUGGUGAAGACCUCAUGCUCUCACACUUUCCCAGAGGCCUUCCAGAUUAGUCCGUCUAAAGCAGCAUCUUCUGGCUGGCUGGGUCGCUUGCUGAGACGCUGCCUCCCAGCCUUUGACCUGUGUUUUAUCCUCUGAUCCACACGAAGGAAGAACUGACCCCAAAUGCUGUCCUCUGACCACAUAGGUGGUGUGGCUUGUGCACACCCACCCUACCCUCAUACA